rnacentral:rRNA from 1 species
UACGGGGGGGGCAAGCGUUGUUCGGAAUUACUGGGCGUAAAGGGCUCGUAGGUGGCCAACUAAGUCAGACGUGAAAUCCCUCGGCUUAACCGGGGAACUGCGUCUGAUACUGGAUGGCUUGAGUUUGGGAGAGGGACGCGGAAUUCCAGGUGUAGCGGUGAAAUGCGCAGAUAUCAGGAGGAACACCGGUGGCGAAGGCGGAUCUCUGGGCCUUACCUGACGCUCAGGUGCGAAAGCUAGGGGAGCGAACAGG